UACGUAGGGGGGCAAGCGUUGUCCGGAAUCAUUGGGCGUAAAGCGCGUGUAGGCGGCUCGGUAAGUCUGCUGUGAAAGUCCAGGGCUCAACCCUGGGAUGCCGGUGGAUACUGUCGAGCUCGAGUCCGGAAGAGGCGAGUGGAAUUCCUGGUGUAGCGGUGAAAUGCGCAGGAUAUCAGGAGGAACACCAAUGGCGAAGGCAGCUCGCUGGGACGUGACUGACGCUGAGACGCGAAAGCGUGGGGAGCAAACAGG
rnacentral:rRNA from 1 species